rnacentral:rRNA from 1 species
AUUGAACGCUGGCGGCAGGCCUAACACAUGCAAGUCGAACGAGUGGCGGACGGGUGAGUAAUGUCUGGGAAACUGCCUGAUGGAGGGGGAUAACUACUGGAAACGGUAGCUAAUACCGCAUACCAUCGGAUGUGCCCAGAUGGGAUUAGCUGGUAGGUAGGGUAACGGCUCACCUAGGCGACGAUCCCUAGCUGGCCUGAGAGGAUGACCAGCCACACUGGAACUGAGACACGGUCCAGACUCCUACGGGAGGCAGCAGUGGGGAAUAUUGCACAAUGGGCGAAAGUCUGACGGAGCCAUGCCGCGUGUAUGAAGAAGGCCUUCGGGUUGUAAAGUACUUUCAGCGGAGAGGCGUUACCCACAGAAGAAGCCCCGGCUAACUCCGUGCCAGCAGCCGCGGUAAUUC